UAGGGAAUAUUGGACAAUGGGGGCAACCCUGAUCCAGCCAUGCCGCGUGAGUGAAGAAGGCCCUCGGGUUGUAAAGCUCUUUUGUCCGGAAAGAAAAGCUUCGGGUCAAUACCCCGGGGUUCUGACGGUACCGGAAGAAUAAGCACCGGCUAACUUCGUGCCAGCAGCCGCGGUAAUACGAAGGGUGCAAGCGUUACUCGGAAUUACUGGGCGUAAAGCGUGCGUAGGUGGUUGUUUAAGUCUGAUGUGAAAGCCCGGGGCUCAACCUGGGAAGGGCAUUGGAAACUGGGCAGCUAGAGUGCGGUAGAGGGUAGUGGAAUUCCCGGUGUAGCAGUGAAAUGCGUAGAGAUCGGGAGGAACAUCUGUGGCGAAGGCGACUGCCUGGACCAGCACUGACACUGAGGCACGAAAGCGUGGGGAGCAAACA
rnacentral:rRNA from 1 species